UCGAGAAUCUUUGUCAAUGGACGAAAGUCUGAACAAGCGACGCCGCGUGCGGGAUGAAGGCCUUCGGGUUGUAAACCGCUGUCGUAGGGGAACAAAUGUACGGGGGUACUCCCCUGUAUUUGAGUGAUCCUAGGAGGAAGGAGAGGCUAAGCUCGUGCCAGCAGCCGCGGUAAGACGAGCUCUCCAAACGUUAUUCGGUAUCACUGGGCUUAAAGAGUUCGUAGGCGGCCUAGCAGGUCAGGUGUGAAAU
rnacentral:rRNA from 1 species